rnacentral:lncRNA from 1 species
AUUAAAUUUAUGAUAAACAUAUUUAAUAUUUUAUGCUUGUUGAUUGUUGAUGUUGUAUGUUGAAAAACAGAAAGAAGUCAAAGGAUUCAGAGUUACAAGAGUGAAAGUCAAUAAGUCAUUAUCAAUUAAUUUACAAUUACCAAAUGUAUUAAAGAAAUUCAUUAAAUAUUGUCUCUUUCUAAGAUAAACUGCUUGUGCUUGUGCAUUAUCAAUUUUUGAAAAUGGUAAACUUCUUAACUAAUUAGUGUGGUCUAUAGUAUAUAAUAAAAAUGCCUAUUGAAUUAGUCUUUCUAUUUAAAAAAAAAACAAACCUCAAAACCACUUGUGACCUCUUGCUCUAUAUUUUACGGUAGUGUGAAUACCUUUUUGUUAUUGGUUUUAUACCAUAAUAUAAUGCAUGAUAAAUAUAAAUUGUGCUGUAUGCAUGUCACUAAUGUAUAGAUGAUUUUCUUUAAAUGUUGUAUAAACUUUAUUCAGGUAUUUAUGCCACUGCAUUCAUUUACCUAUAUACAAAUUUAGAAGAAAAAAAAGUUUUAUAAUAAAGAACAAAAUUAAUUAAACAUGUUUUGAUUGAUUUGAUUUUAUCCAAUAUGCAUAUCAAAAUGAAACCUGUUCCAAUAAUAGAUAUGGCGUUUAAAUGUAACUUGCAUCAUAUAGAAAAUAAAACAACAAAUGAUAGAAAGCGAAAUAGAAAAUUGUUUCAACACGGUUUUACUGUCAUAUUCAAAGUCACAUGUCCUGUUUACAGAAGGAAUU